rnacentral:rRNA from 1 species
GUGCAAUGAGCGAAAGCUUGACACAGCGACACCGCGUGUGGGAUGACGGUUCUAGGAUUGUAAACCACUUUCAGGAGGGAAGAAAAUGACGGUACCUCCACAAGAAGACCCGGCCAACUAUUAGCCAGCAGCCGCGGUAAUACAUAGGGGUCAAGCGUCGUCCGGAUUUAUUGGGCGUAAAGAGCUCGUAGGCGGUUCAACAAGUCGGUCGUAAAAGUUUAGGGCUCAACCCUAAAAUGUCGAUCGAUACUGUUGUGACUAGGAUACGGUAGAGGUGAAUGGAAUUCCGAGUGUAGCGGUGAAAUGCGUAGAUAUUCGGAGGAACACCAAUUGCGAAGGCAGUUCACUGGACCGUGAUCGACGCUGAGGAGCGAAAGCUAGGGGAGCAAACAGGAUCAGAUACCCUGGUAGUCCUAGCUGUAAACGAUGGAUACUAGAUGUAGGACUGGAUUGACGGUUUCUGUAUCGUAGCUAACGCGAUAAGUAUC